AGGGGUCUGCGGGAGGAAAGUCCGGGCAACACGAGCCACCAUACUUCCUAACGGGAAGGCGGCGGGGAGGCAAGGGCCCCGCCGACAGCGAGUGCCACAGAAAGAUAAACCGCCUGGCAACAGGUAAGGGUGCAAGCGCGAGGCAAGAGCUCACGACGGGCGACAGCGAUGCCGCCCGAUGGCAAACCUUAUGGGUUGAAAGACCAAAUAUACCGGCUACACGGGGCAGGCUCGCCCUUGCCGGGGGGUAGGUUGAUAGAGGCCGUCGGCGACGACGGCAGUAGAUUGAUGAUAGAGGCCGCCCAAGCGUUGAGCAAGGGCGGAACAGAACCCGGCUUACCACGUUG
rnacentral:RNase_P_RNA from 1 species